GAUGAACGCUGGCGGCGUGCCUAAUACAUGCAAGUCGAGCGAACGGACGAGAAGCUUGCUUCUCUGAUGUUAGCGGCGGACGGGUGAGUAACACGUGGAUAACCUACCUAUAAGACUGGGAUAACUUCGGGAAACCGGAGCUAAUACCGGAUAAUAUUUUGAACCGCAUGGUUCAAAAGUGAAAGACGGUCUUGCUGUCACUUAUAGAUGGAUCCGCGCUGCAUUAUCUAGUUGGUAAGGUAACGGCUUACCAAGGCAACGAUGCAUAGCCGACCUGAGAGGAGGAGCAGCCAAACUGGAACUGAGAAAAGGUCCAGGCCCCUACGGGAGGGAACAGGUGGGAAUUUUGCACAAUGGGCGGAAGCCUGAACGAGCCAACCCGGGGGGGGGAAUAAGGUCUUCGGGUUGUAAAACCCUUUUUUUGGGAAAAAAAAAUAUGUGAAAAAAACGGUGCCGUUCUGAAGGUAACCAAAGAAGAAACCCCGGCUAACUUCGGU
rnacentral:rRNA from 1 species